rnacentral:rRNA from 1 species
AUUGAACGCUGGCGGCAGGCCUAACACAUGCAAGUCGAGCGGAUGAAGGGAGCUUGCUCCUGGAUUCAGCGGCGGACGGGUGAGUAAUGCCUAGGAAUCUGCCUGGUAGUGGGGGAUAACGUCCGGAAACGGGCGCUAAUACCGCAUACGUCCUGAGGGAGAAAGUGGGGGAUCUUCGGACCUCACGCUAUCAGAUGAGCCUAGGUCGGAUUAGCUAGUUGGUGGGGUAAAGGCCUACCAAGGCGACGAUCCGUAACUGGUCUGAGAGGAUGAUCAGUCACACUGGAACUGAGACACGGUCCAGACUCCUACGGGAGGCAGCAGUGGGGAAUAUUGGACAAUGGGCGAAAGCCUGAUCCAGCCAUGCCGCGUGUGUGAAGAAGGUCUUCGGAUUGUAAAGCACUUUAAGUUGGGAGGAAGGGCAGUAAGUUAAUCCCUUGCUGUUUUGACGUUACCAACAGAAUAAGCCCCGGCUAACUUCGUG